rnacentral:rRNA from 1 species
UACGUCCUACGGGGGGCAGCAGUAGGGAAUCUUCCACAAUGGGCGAAAGCCUGAUGGAGCAACGCCGCGUGGGGGAAGAAGUUCUUCGGAUCGUAAAACCCUGUUGUUAGAGAAGAAAGUGCGUGAGAGUAACUGUUCACGUUUCGACGGUAUCUAACCAGAAAGCCACGGCUAACUACGUGCCAGCAGCCGCGGUAAUACGUAGGUGGCAAGCGUUAUCCGGAUUUAUUGGGCGUAAAGAGAACGCAGGCGGUCUUUUAAGUCUGAUGUGAAAGCCUUCGGGUUAACCGGGGUAGUACAUUGGG